UCUCCAAAUAGUUCUCUCUGCCACUUCUCGCGAUGUUAGAGAGAGGACGUACUUCCGGGUGAGGCACACAGAUCACCUCGUGGAACACAUUCCGGUUGGAACUGCGACUAGCGAAGCCUUUCUAGGAUAUAAGUUUGUUUCGGGUUUAAACGUGGUGAAAAGGCGUCAGAGAUGCUUGUUUUAUUUGAAACCGCUGCUGGUUAUGCAAUAUUUAAAGUCCUCGAUGAGUCAAAGCUCCAAGAGGUGGACAGUUUAUGGAAGGAGUUCGAAACUCCGGAGAAGGCCAACAAAGUAGUGAAGUUGAAGCACUUUGAGAAAUUCCAGGACACAACAGAGGCCUUGGCAGCGGCCACGGCCAUGACGGAAGGGAAGAUGGGGAAGAGUCUGAAGAAGGUCCUAAAGAAAGUGGUGGCUAAAGAAGCUCAUGAACAGCUGGCCAUCAGCGACGCUAAGCUGGGGGGCGUCAUCAAGGAGAAGUUGAACCUGAGCUGUGUCCACAGCCCUGCGGUGGCAGAGCUGAUGAGAGGCAUCAGGACACAGAUGGAGUCCCUGAUCACUGGGCUGCCCCCCCGGGAGAUCAGCGCCAUGUCUCUGGGACUGGCUCACAGUUUGUCCCGCUACAAGCUGAAGUUCAGCCCUGACAAAGUGGAUACCAUGAUCGUUCAAGCUAUCUCUCUGCUGGAUGACCUGGACAAGGAGCUCAACAACUACAUCAUGCGCUGUAGGGAGUGGUACGGCUGGCACUUCCCUGAGGUGGGGAAGAUCAUCACUGACAACCUGGCCUACUGCAAGAGUGUCCGGAAGAUAGGCGCUCGUACCAACGUGGCAACCACCGACCUGUCUGAGCAUCUCCCCGAGGAGGUGGAGGCAGAGGUCAAACUGGCUGCAGAGAUCUCCAUGGGAACGGAGGUGUCAGAGGAGGACAUCGGCAACAUCAUGCACCUGUGUGACCAGGUGAUAGAGAUUACAGAGUACCGCACCCAACUGUACGACUAUCUGAAGAACAGGAUGAUGGCUAUCGCUCCCAACCUGACUGUCAUGGUGGGGGAACUGGUAGGGGCACGGCUCAUCUCACACGCUGGGUCCCUGUUGAACCUGGCCAAGCACCCGGCCUCCACAGUCCAGAUCCUGGGAGCAGAGAAGGCCCUGUUCAGAGCCCUGAAGACGCGCAGAGACACGCCCAAAUAUGGUCUCAUCUACCACGCCUCUCUGGUGGGACAGACCUCGGCCAAGAACAAGGGCAAGAUCUCUAGGAUGCUGGCAGCCAAAGCAUCUCUGGUACUGAUCCGCUAGUUCUAAUCAGAUGCCCUGGGAGAGGGUGUGACACUAACGCUGAGAUGGGAGUUGAGAACCGUGCUCAGGAUGCUGGAGGCCAGUACUGGCGAUCCGCCACCUAGAGGAGAAGGGAAUCAGAAGAAUCAGUGGAACAGGCAAAGCCAUGGCGAAGUCUGACUGAGUCCCCUGGAAACUACUGCUGUCUUGUGACGUGAAGGUGUACGACCCCUCCGGAGACUCCACCCUCCCCUCUGUUUCCAAGAAGAGGAAGUUUGAGGAGGUGGAGGAGGAAGAGGUGGCCACACCGGUGACAGUCAAAACCAAGAAACCCAAGAAAGAACCUGUGGAAGAACCAGAGGCUUCAACGGCAGCAGAAGAAACUCCAUCCUGAAGAAAAAGAAGUCUAAGAAAGCCGAGGAGGAGGCCAUCCUGUUAAAUAAGAGGAGGCGACCAUCCAUCCCACAGAGGAACUCCGUCACAAUGCAGUUGGACAGUGAAGAUGAAGACGAUUUCCUUGCCAAUCUAUGA